rnacentral:rRNA from 1 species
AAUGAACGCUAGCGGUAGGCUUAAUACAUGCAAGUUGAACGUGCCUUCAGUUUACUGAAGGCAAGUAGCAGACGGGUGAGUAAUGCUUGGAAAUCUACUCAGAAGACAUGAAUAACUAUCAGAAAUGGUAGCUAAUACAAGAUAAUACCCUGAGGGGAAGGUUAUUCCGCUUUGUAAUGAGUCCAAGUUAGAUUAGUUAGUUGGUGGGGUAAAGUGCCUACCAAGACGAUGAUCUAUAGCUGGUUUGAGAGAAUGAUCAGCCACACUGGAACUGAGACACGGUCCAGACUUCUACGGAAGGCAGCAGUAGGGAAUCAUGGACAAUGGGCGCAAGCCUGAUCCUGCCAUACCGCAUGAGUGAAGAAGGCCUUAGGGUUGUAAAGCUCUUUUAGUGGGGAAGAUAAUGACGGUACCCACAGAAAAAAGUCCCGGCUAACUUUGUGCCAGCAGCCGCUUAACGU